CACCCCACAGCCGCUCAGGGCUCGCGGCCGCGCCGCGCAGCCCGCACAGACCCGCAGCCCGGCGGGGUCCGAGGAGGGCCCAGGCCCGGCGGGGCCCAGCGCGGACUGGAAGAUUAUUAAGACACCCCCAGCAUACAGAGCCCACCGGGAGAAGUGCAGGCGUGCUCAGACCCUGCUCUAACGUCCUGAGAGGUGGAAUGGGCCCAAGCUCUUGCCCGAUGGACGGCUCUCCAAGUAUGUCCUACUGGGAUCCUUCUAACCAGUGAAUUAUUCUCCACCCAGUGAUUCUUCCCGACUGAGGCCAAGAGAUUUCUGGAGCCUCUUGUCAUGGGUCAGCAACAUCCCCUGAGUGACCCCGAAGUGGGGGUUUCUAAGUCCGUCAGGCAAAGACAAAGCAGAUGAGCCUAGCUCUGGGGAGAAGCACAAGAGUGUGCCCACCAUGGCUGUGCCCAGAUGCUGAGGGCUGGCCAGACUGCGGCCAGCUGGAAUUCUAGAAUUUGUACUUGGUGUGAGUCAUACCAAAACUGCCCAGGUGAAGAGCUCCCCCUGAAGACAGCUGGUCUACCUGUGGGCCAGGUGGCCCAUUCCUGUUGCCUUGCAAAUGACCACAGCCUGUCAGGGCAAGUGAGGGUCACAGACUGGAGCCAAAGGAAGUCAGGCGCCUCAUAGGAGGAUAAGCAAGUGAACCCAGUCAAGAAGGUCACUCUGUGGAGCUGGCAAGGUUCCCUGAUGGUGACCAGUGGCCAUGGCGGAGUGUGGAGGUGAAGUUACAGAUUUUCCUUAGCAGAGCUG